AGAAAUUUGUAUCUUCCUCGUUAGUAUAGUGGAAAGUAUCUCCGCCUGUCACGCGGAAGACCGGGGUUCGAUUCCACGACGGGGGGUUCACUUCUUUGUGCGAAAUAGCAUUUA